rnacentral:rRNA from 1 species
GACGAACGCUGGCGGCGUGCUUAACACAUGCAAGUCGAGCGGUAAGGCCCUUCGGGGUACACGAGCGGCGAACGGGUGAGUAACACGUGGGUGACCUGCCCUCAGCUUCGGGAUAAGCCUGGGAAACCGGGUCUAAUACCGGAUACGACCACGGGGCGCAUGCUCUGUGGUGGAAAGUUUUUUCGGCUGGGGAUGGGCCCGCGGCCUAUCAGCUUGUUGGUGGGGUGAUGGCCUACCAAGGCGGUGACGGGUAGCCGGCCUGAGAGGGCGACCUGCCCAAAUGGGACGGAGACGCGGACGAGAGUCCUGCGGUAGGCAGGAGUGGGGAAUAUUUCGCGAUGGGCGGAAGCCUGACGAAGCUACGCCGCGUGGGGGAUGAAGGCCCUCGGGUUGUAAACCGCUUUCAGCAGGGACUAAAUUGACGGUACCUGCAGAAGAAGCCCCGGCCAACUACGUGCCAGCAGCCGCCGCAG